rnacentral:rRNA from 1 species
UACAGAGGUCUCAAGCGUUGUUCGGAUUCAUUGGGCGUAAAGGGUGUGUAGGUGGCGCCGUAAGUCGGGUGUGAAAUUUCGGAGCUUAACUCCGAAACUGCAUUCGAUACUGCGGUGCUUGAGGACUGGAGAGGAGACUGGAAUUCAUGGUGUAGCAGUGAAAUGCGUAGAGAUCAUGAGGAACACCUGAGGUGAAGACGGGUUGCUGGGCCGACACUGACGCUGAGUGCGCGAAAGCCAGGGGAGCAAACGGG